AGAGUUUGAUCCUGGCUCAGAACGAACGCUGGCGGCAUGCUAACACAUGCAAGUCGAACGCUAUUUAUAGAGUGGCGCACGGGUGAGUAACGCGUGGGAACCUGCCUUUUUCUGCGGGAUAACGGUUGGAAACGACCGCUAAUACCGCAUACGCCCUACGGGGGAAAGGUCCGCCGGAGAAAGAGGGGCCCGCGUCUGAUUAGCUAGUUGGUGGGGUAACGGCCUACCAAGGCGACGAUCAGUAGCUGGUCUGAGAGGAUGAUCAGCCACACUGGGACUGAGACACGGCCCAGACUCCUACGGGAGGCAGCAGUGGGGAAUAUUGGACAAUGGGGGCAACCCUGAUCCAGCAAUGCCGCGUGUGUGAUGAAGGCCUUAGGGUUGUAAAGCACUUUCACUGGUGAAGAUGAUGACGGUAACCAGAGAAGAAGCCCCGGCUAACUUCGUGCCAGCAGCCGCGGUAAUACGAAGGGGGCGAGCGUUGUUCGGAAUUACUGGGCGUAAAGGGCGCGUAGGCGGUCUUUUAAGUUAGGCGUGAAAUCCCCGGGCUCAACCUGGGAACUGCGCUUAAGACUGGAAGACUAGAAAACGGAAGAGGGUAGUGGAAUUCCCAGUGUAGAGGUGAAAUUCGUAGAUAUUGGGAAGAACACCAGUGGCGAAAGCGGCUACCUGGUCCGAUUUUGACGCUGAGGCGCGAAAGCGUGGGGAGCAAGCAGGAUUAGAUACCCUGGUAGUCCACGCCGUAAACGAUGUCUGCUAGAUGUCGGGGGGUUGCCCCUCGGUGUCGCCGCUAACGCAUUAAGCAGACCGCCUGGGAAGUACGGUCGCAAGAUUAAAACUCAAAGGAAUUGACGG
rnacentral:rRNA from 1 species